rnacentral:rRNA from 1 species
UACGGAAGGCAGCGGGGGGAAUAUUGCACAAUGGGCGCAAGCCUGAUGCAGCCAUGCCGCGUGUAUGAAGAAGGCCUUCGGGUUGUAAAGUACUUUCAGUCGUGAGGAAGGUGUUAAGGUUAAUAACCUUAGCAAUUGACGUUAGCGACAGAAGAAGCACCGGCUAACUCCGUGCCAGCAGCCGCGGUAAUACGGAGGGUGCGAGCGUUAAUCGGAAUUACUGGGCGUAAAGGGCACGCAGGCGGUUAAUUAAGUUGGAUGUGAAAUCCCCGGGCUUAACCUGGGAAUGGCAUUCAAGACUGGUUAGCUAGAGUCCUGUAGAGGGGGUAGAAUUCCAUGUGUAGCGGUGAAAUGCGUAGAGAUGUGGAGGAAUACCGGUGGCGAAGGCGGCCCCUGGACAAAGACUGACGCUCAUGUGCGAAAAGCUGGGGAGCAAAACGAGGAUUAGAUACC